rnacentral:rRNA from 1 species
UACAGAGGUCCCGAGCGUUGUUCGGAUUCACUGGGCGUAAAGGUGCGUAGGUGGCAUGGUAAGUUUGAUGUGAAAGCUCAGGGCUUAACCCUGAAAUGGCAUUGAAUACUACUGUGCUGGAGGUUUGGAGGGGGGACUGGAAUUCUUGGUGUAGCAGUGAAAUGCGUAGAUAUCAGGAGGAACACCUGUGGUGUAGACGGCUUUCUGGACCAUAGCUGACGCUGAGACACGAAAGCGUGGGUAGCAAACAGG